rnacentral:rRNA from 1 species
GAUGCAGCCAUGCCGCGUGUGUGAAGAAGGCCUUCGGGUUGUAAAGCACUUUCAGUUGUGAGGAAAAGUUAGUAGUUAAUACCUGCUAGCCGUGACGUUAACAACAGAAGAAGCACCGGCUAACUCCGUGCCAGCAGCCGCGGUAAUACGGAGGGUGCGAGCGUUAAUCGGAAUUACUGGGCGUAAAGCGCACGCAGGCGGUUUGUUAAGCUAGAUGUGAAAGCCCCGGGCUCAACCUGGGAUGGUCAUUUAGAACUGGCAGACUAGAGUCUUGGAGAGGGGAGUGGAAUUCCAGGUGUAGCGGUGAAAUGCGUAGAUAUCUGGAGGAACAUCAGUGGCGAAGGCGACUCCCUGGCCAAAGACUGACGCUCAUGUGCGAAAGUGUGGGUAGCGAACAGGAUUAGAUACCCUGGUAGUCCACACCGUAAACGCUGUCUACUAGCUGUGUGUGUCUUUAAGACGUGCGUAGCGAAGCUAACGCGCUAAGUAGACCGCCUGGGGAGUACGGCCGCAAGGUUAAAACUCAAAUGAAUUGACGGGGGCCCGCACAAGCGGUGGAGCAUGUGGUUUAAUUCGAUGCAACGCGAAGAACCUUACCUACACUUGACAUGCUGAGAAGUUACUAGAGAUAGUUUCGUGCCUUCGGGAACUCAGACACAGGUGCUGCAUGGCUGUCGUCAGCUCGUGUCGUGAGA